rnacentral:rRNA from 1 species
UUUCCGGGUUGAUCCUGCCGGGACUGACUGCUAUCGGAUUGAUACUAAGCCAUGCGAGUCAUUGUAGCAAUACAAGGCAGACGGCUCAGUAACGCGUAGUCAACCUACCCUAUGGACGGGGAUAACCUCGGGAAACUGAGAAUAAUACCCGAUAGAACAUUAUGCCUGGAAUGGUUUAUGUUUCAAAUAAUUUAUUGCCGUAGGAUGGGACUGCGGCCUAUCAGUUUGUUGGUGAGGUAAUGGCCCACCAAGACUAUUACAGGUACGGGCUCUGAGAGGAGUAGCCCGGAGAUGGGUACUGAGACACGGACCCAGGCCCUAUGGGGCGCAGCAGGCGAGAAAACUUUGCAAUGUGCGAAAGCACGACAAGGUUAAUCCGAGUGGUUUCUGCUAAAGGAACCUUUUGUCAGUCCUAGAAACACUGAUGAAUAAGGGGUGGGCAAGUUCUGGUGUCAGCCGCCGCGGUAAAACCAGCACCUCAAGUGGUCAGGAUGAUUAUUGGGCCUAAAGCAUCCGUAGCCUGCUUUGUAAGUUUUCGGUUAAAUCCAUACGCUCAACGUAUGGGCUGCCGGGAAUACUGCAAAGCUAGGGAGUGGGAGAGGUAGACGGUACUCGGUAGGAAGGGGUAAAAUCCUUUGAUCUAUUGAUGACCACCUGUGGCGAAGGCGGUCUACCAGAACACGUCCGACGGUGAGGGAUGAAAGCUGGGGGAGCAAACCGGAUUAGAUACCCGGGUAGUCCCAGCUGUAAACUAUGCAAACUCAGUGAUGCAUUGGCUUGUGGCCAAUGCAGUGCUGCAGGGAAGCCGUUAAGUUUGCCGCCUGGGAAGUACGUACGCAAGUAUGAAACUUAAAGGAAUUGGCGGGGGAGCACCACAAGGGGUGAAGCCUGCGGUUCAAUUGGAUUCAACGCCGGA